GUAGGGAAUAUUGGGCAAUGGAGGCAACUCUGACGCAGCCAUGCCGCGUGCAGGAAGAAGGCGCUACGCGUUGUAAACUGCUUUUAACCGGGAAGAAACCCCAGGACGUGUCCUGGGUUGACGGUACCGGAGGAAUAAGCACCGGCUAACUUCGUGCCAGCAGCCGCGGUAAUACGAAGGGUGCAAGCGUUAUCCGGAUUCAUUGGGUUUAAAGGGUGCGUAGGCGGAGCGUUAAGUCAGUGGUGAAAUCCUGCAGCUUAACUGUAGACUUGCCAUUGAUACUGGCGCUCUUGAGUGCGCUUGAAGUGGGCGGAAUGUGCCGUGUAGCGGUGAAAUGCUUAGAUAUGGCACAGAACACCAAUUGCGAAGGCAGCUCACUAAGGCGAUACUGACGCUGAGGCACGAAAGCGUGGGGAUCGAACAGGAUUAGAUACCCUUGUAGUCC
rnacentral:rRNA from 1 species